GAUGAACGCUGGCGGCGUGCUUAACACAUGCAAGUCGAACGGUGAAGCAGGAGCUUGCUCUUGUGGAUCAGUGGCGAACGGGUGAGUAACACGUGAGCAACCUGCCCCUGACUCUGGGAUAAGCGCUGGAAACGGCGUCUAAUACUGGAUAUGUGAUGUGACCGCAUGGUCUGCAUCUGGAAAGAAUUUCGGUUGGGGAUGGGCUCGCGGCCUAUCAGCUUGUUGGUGAGGUAAUGGCUCACCAAGGCGUCGACGGGUAGCCGGCCUGAGGGGGUGACCGGCCACACUGGGACUGGGACACGGGCCAGACUCCUACGGGAGGCAGCAGUGGGGAAUAUUGCACAAUGGGCGGAAGCCUGAUGCAGCAACGCCGCGUGAGGGAUGACGGCCUUCGGGUUGUAAACUUCUUUUAGCAGGGAAGAAGCGAAAGUGACGGUACCUGCAGAAAAAGCACCGGCUAACUACGUGCCAGCCGCCGCGGUAA
rnacentral:rRNA from 1 species